UACGUAGGGCGCAAGCGUUGUCCGGAAUUAUUGGGCGUAAAGAGCUCGUAGGCGGUUUGUCACGUCGGCCGUGAAAACUUGCAGCUUAACUGUGGGCGUGCGGUCGAUACGGGCAUCACUGGAGUUCGGCAGGGGAGACUGGAAUUCCUGGUGUAGCGGUGAAAUGCGCAGAUAUCAGGAGGAACACCGGUGGCGAAGGCGGGUCUCUGGGCCGAUACUGACGCUGAGGAGCGAAAGCGUGGGGAGCAAACAGG
rnacentral:rRNA from 1 species